CUUAAUAAAACUUUUGCUACGCUGGGUAGCAAAAGGCACCUUUAGUUACCUGAGUGGACAG
ensembl:misc_RNA